AGGCGACCCGAGCCGCCAGCCGGGCGUGAGUAAGUCUAGGGCCCAGUUUCCGGCUGCGCCAUUGCUGUGUGGGUCUUGGGACCUCGAGUUGGAGGACGCGGGAGGGUGGGGGCGGGGGCAGGGCAGCGCUGAGAUUUCCGGGGAGCGGCAGGUGAGGCCGCGCGGGGCGGGUGACGGCACCCGGGCGGGCUCCUUUCCAGGCUGGAGCCCGAGACUGCCACGUCCUGCGGGGACCAAGUGGUGGGCGAGGAGGCGUGGAGCGGCUUCAGGACUCGAGGAGCGGUUCCGAAGCAGCUAGGGACUUUUGCCUUUGCCCCCCGAGGUCGAUCGGAAGACAACCCCCAUCCCCUGCUGUAGCGGGACAGUUGGAGGGUCAUGGGUGGGUGAAGUGUUUGGCUGAGGGAAACUCAGACCAAAGAGCAGCGGCAAGAAAGCAGUUGGGUCCCCACAAAACGCCCGAAGUCAAGGUGAGGGUCACACAACGACUCUUGACGAUUCCGGCGAGUUCAUCCUGGUGCACAUCCCACUCCAUGCCUCUCUCUUCUGGUUGGACAAUAGUUACAUCCUUACGAAAAGGAGGCAAGCUACUGGGCCUUGGUGGAUCCACUCAACCUUGUUACCAAGGGACAUGCCGCCAUGCUAUGUGAAAAGGGGGGUUUUGUUGUUUGUUUUUAAUUUAAGUAUCUAAUUCGUUUCACGAAAGAAUGAUCAAUACCGGCCCAGAGUAAACUUGAUAAGUAAUUAAACUGUCAGGGCAUAGAGUUCCCAUAGAGGUGCUUGUUCUUUCAAUACACAAAUAAAGGGAUGCAAAAGUCAACAUGCAGAAA
rnacentral:lncRNA from 10 species